CUUCGUUGAUUCAUGUUCUAAUACUCAACCUUCUUAGGUUACAAUUACAGCUCUUAAUGUUUGGACAUCAUUGAAGUAUGUACGUCUAUCAGAAAUUAAUGCCUUCAGACAGGUGGAAGAGACACUAGAAUAGCACAUACUGUGACCACUUAUUAGCAACAUCACGCAGGUCCAGAUAAAUCGAAGAAUGUUUUGUAGAAAAGUUCAAAACAGAUACAAAGCUAUGAGCAUGUAUAUGCAGAGGUAGAUCAACCUGGAAGCUACUACAAUAGUCCAGGUGAGACAUCAAGAGGACAACUGAGGAAAUAAAGUGGACAUGGAGAAGAGGGAGAAGAUUCAACUAUUUAUACAGUUUGAUGAGGCAGGAUACCAUGCUGUGGAGACCCAUUUGGCAAGAAACUAAAGGCAGCCACCAUCCAAAUGCUAGGAAAAAGCUACAGCUUUCUGUCUGAUGGCAAAGGAGACACUGAAUCCAGUCAACAAUAACAGGAGUUUGAUGGAAGAUCCAUUCCCCAGUGGAGCCUCAGAUAACACCUCAAGUCUGGCCAACAUUCUGACUGUAAACUUAUGAGAGACCCUGAAGCAGAGAAUUCAGCUAAUCCAUGCCUGGGUUUCUGACUCUCAAAAAUUCUG
rnacentral:lncRNA from 1 species